CCCAGCGGCCAGCGCAUCGCUACAUCCCCACUCAGCUAGGGCUUUUCCAUCCCUACUAUCGAUGGAUGGAAAGUGUCCCAUGUAAAUGUUAUCUCCUAUCCCUAUCUACACUUGGCAUAUCUUUAUUUUGGUUCAUUCGAGACAAAGUGAGAUUCAAGUACUAGAAGAUGUAGGUUUUUACCUAACAGCAUUACUUUUAUUUAUUAAAAGAGAAAGUAAAGCCUUAGAAUGCAUACGUGGUUGAUAUGAGACCUUCGGAGGCAAAUGUUGAAUAGCCUUGUCUCUGUUUGUGCUUGGGAUUAGCUGUGCAUAGAACAUAUACGCGCCCACGUCGCUUAACUGUGCGACAGAACUCGCACAUCUUCUUCACUGAUGCCCUAACCUUCAUGGCUGUUAAUGAUCCAAACCACAAACGAUGAGAAAAUUAUCCAUGAGCAUACAUAUACGCGCCCACGUCGCUUGACUGUGCGACAGAACUCGCACAUCUUCUUCACUGAUGCCCUAACCUUCAUGGCUGUUAAUGAGCCAAACCACAAAUGAUGAGAAAAUUAUCCAUGAGCAUGACUAGGAAAUACUACAAGCAUUCACCAAAGCAAAAUUUUAACUUCUCAUAAAUCAGAGUCCGCAAAAUAAAAGG
rnacentral:lncRNA from 1 species